rnacentral:rRNA from 1 species
UGAGUACGAGCUGCUACGGCAGCGAAGUGGGUGACGUCAAGCUUCCAAGAAAAGCCCUAUACCCGUUAAGGCAUGAUGGCCUGUACCCGAAACCGACACAGGUAGGAUGGUAGAGAAUACCGAGGGGCGCGAGGUAACUCUCUCUAAGGAACUCGGCAAAAUGGCCCCGUAACUUCGGGAGAAGGGGUGCCACCGCAAGGUGGUCGCAGUGAAGAGGCCCAGGCGACUGUUUACCAAAAACACAGGUCUCCGCUAAGUCGCAAGACGAUGUAUGGGGGCUGACGCCUGCCCAGUGCCGGAAGGUUAAGGAAGCUGGUCAGCGUAAGCGAAGCUAGCGACUGAAGCCCCGGUGAACGGCGGCCGUAACUAUAACGGUCCUAAGGUAGCGAAAUUCCUUGUCGGGUAAGUUCCGACCCGCACGAAAGGCGUAACGAUCUGGGCGCUGUCUCGGAGAGAGGCUCGGCGAAAUAGAAUUGUCUGUGAAGAUGCGGACUACGUGCACCCGGACAGAAAGACCCUAUGAAGCUUUACUGUAGCUUGGUAUUGUGCCCGGGCUCUGAAUGCGCAGGAUAGGUGGGAGGCUUUGAUCAACAGCUUGCGGGUUGUUGUGAGCCAACGGUGAGAUACCACUCUUUCAGAGCUAGGGUUCUAACGGUCACCCGUUAUCCAGGGGACCGGACAGUAUCAGGUGGGCAGUUUGACUGGGGCGGUCGCCUCCUAAAAGGUAACGGAGGCGCGCAAAGGUUUGCUCAGGCUGGUUGGAAAUCAGCCGACGAGUGUAAAAGCAGAAGCAAGCUUGACUGUGAGACCUACAAGUCGAACAGGGACGAAAGUCGGCUUUAGUGAUCCGACGGUUCUGAGUGGAAGGGCCGUCGCUCAACGGAUAAAAGUUACUCUAGGAUAACAGGCUGAUCUCCCCCAAGAGUUCACAUCGACGGGGAGGUUUGGCACCUCGAUGUCGGCUCAUCGCAACCUGGGGCUGAGGUCGGUCCCAAGGGUUGGGCUGUUCGCCCAUUAAAGCGGUACGCGAGCUGGGCUCAGAACGUCGUGAGACAGUUCGGUCCAUAUCCGGUGCAUGCGCAGGAAUAUUGAGAGGAGUUCUCCCUAGUACGAGAGGACCGGGAGGAACGCACCUCUGGUGUACCAGUUAUCGUGCCAACGGUAAACGCUGGGUAGCCAUGUGCGGAGAGGAUAACCGCUGAAAGCAUCUAAGUGGGAAGCCCACCUCAAGAUGAGUAUUCCCAUGGCAUAAGCCAGUAAGGUCACGGGAAGAACACCCGUUGAUAGGCUCUACGUGGAAGCGCAGUAAUGCGUGAAGCGGAGGAGUACUAAUAGACCGAGGGCUUGAC